rnacentral:rRNA from 1 species
UAGCCUUGACAUACUACAGAAUUUGACAGAGAUGUUGAAGGGCCUUCGGGAGCUGUAAUACAGGUGCUGCACGGCUGUCGUCAGCUCGUGUCGUGAGAUGUUGGGUUAAGUCCCGCAACGAGCGCAACCCUCGUCCUUAGUUACUAACGGUUUGGCCGAGGACUCUAAGGAGACUGCCUUCGUAAGGAGGAGGAAGGUGAGGACGACGUCAAGUCAUCAUGGCCCUUACGGCUAGGGCAACACACGUGCUACAAUGGUUAGGACAAUGAGAAGCGAUACCGCGAGGUGGAGCAAAUCUAUAAACCUAAUCUCAGUUCGGAUAGCAGUCUGCAACUCGACUGCUUGAAGCUGGAAUCACUAGUAAUCGUAAAUCAGCUAUGUUACGGUGAAUACGUUCCCGGGUCU